rnacentral:piRNA from 1 species
UGAUGCAGCUAGUCUGGAAGGAAC